UUGGUGGCUGGGACCUGAUAGCUGGGGUCCUGGCCACCCCUAGGUGCACCUGGCACCCAUUCCCCCGGUGUGUGGGAGCUGUGUUCCUGGGAGAGGUGCAGCAGGUUCCCAGGAUCCCAAGCCAAGAAGGCUCCCCAGGGUGCUGAGGACCUCACAAAGAGGGGAGAAGCCACCUGCCUAAUUAAACAGCAGCAACAAGCUUUGCGUUGCCAGCCAUGCCUGAGCACAACGUGAACUUCAGUGACACUUAGAAGAGGAAACGGGCUGCCUUCUGGGUCUCUCCGCUAAUAUUUGGAAGCCUGACAGCUAUGUCCCAAGCCCGUGGUACAAGCUUAUAAAUAACUCAUGGAGCCUGGUUUCAAGUCCAGCCUGUGGCUGGCUACCUACAGCAGCUCUCGCUGCCACCACACACCAGAUCUGGGUAUCUGCCCCACGCAGAGCAUCCUCAGCACCCAGAGCCCUGCUAAGGAGAGCGGUGGCACUGCAGGGUGGCACUGGCCUCGCUGUGGGACACCUGAGCACAAAGCCCCGCAUGCAGCUCUUUGCAGCGUGGCUUGUGGGGGUCGCAGUUCCCUGCCUGUAGGAGAAGGGACCGAGGAGCCAACGGGAAGGCGUUGGGUCCUGGGUGCAUGGAGUGUGGGGGCUUUGCCGCGCCGUUAUCUAAAUGCAGAUGUCAGAGAGCGAGAGCUGCUGUGUAAAUAACAUCCCCCAUGAUACGAGAUACAUCAUUUGUAAUGAAGCUAUGAAAGCUGCAA